CGUCUAUAUACGUAUAGCAUAUCAAUAAGCGGAGGAAAAGAAACUAACUAGGAUUCCCUCAGUAACGGCGAGCGAAGCGGGAAGAGCUCAAAUUUGAAAUCUUCAAGGUUCUACCUUGACGAAUUGUAGUUUAAAGAAGUGUUUUCUGUUGGAUGUUUUGGUAAAAGUUCUUUGGAAUAGGACAUCAUAGAGGGUGAGAAUCCCGUAUUUGACCACUACUUCCAGCUUUGUGAUACACUUUCAAAGAGUCGGAUUGUUUGGGAAUGCAGUCCAAAAUGGGUGGUAAAUUUCAUCUAAAGCUAAAUACUGGCGAGAGACCGAUAGCGAACAAGUACCGUGAGGGAAAGAUGAAAAGAACUUUGAAAAGAGAGUUAAACAGUACGUGAAAUUGUCAAAAGGGAAGCGUUUGACACCAGUGUUGUUUUCUCGAAAAUCAAUUAAAAAAGAUUGGAUUUUGUGUUGUAUUGACUUUAUCAGCUUUCUGCACUCUUUUCUUGUCUUUUUUAAUGCACUUUAUCGUUUAACAAGUCAACAUCAAUUUCUUUUGUUGUAAAAGGGUCAUUGGAAGGUGGCUUUCUUUUCGGAGAAAGUGUUUAUAGCCUUUGACUUCUGCAAUCGGAGAGACUGAGGUCUGCAGCGUAGAUCCUUCGUGGAUUAGAUGCAUUUGUGCUAAGUUAUAGCCUUUUAUAGACAACAUGUUGACUAUGAUUAGUCAUGUAGCUUACUCGCUUAUGUAAUUUUACCUACGCUUAGGAUGUUGACGAUCAGCUGAGCGCG
rnacentral:rRNA from 1 species